rnacentral:rRNA from 1 species
GACGAACGCUGGCGGCGUGCUUAACACAUGCAAGUCGAACGGAAAGGCCCUGCUUUUGUGGGGUGCUCGAGUGGCGAACGGGUGAGUAACACGUGAGUAACCUGCCCUUGACUUUGGGAUAACUUCAGGAAACUGGGGCUAAUACCGGAUAGGAGCUCCUGCUGCAUGGUGGGGGUUGGAAAGUUUCGGCUGUUGGGGAUGGACUCGCGGCUUAUCAGCUUGUUGGUGGGGUAGUGGCUUACCAAGGCUUUGACGGGUAGCCGGCCUGAGGGGGUGACCGGCCACAUUGGGACUGAGAUACGGCCCAGACUCCUAAGGGAGGAAGCAGUGGGGAAUAUUGAACAAUGGGCGGAAGCCUGAUGAAGAAACGCCGCGUGCGGGAUGACGGCCUUCGGGUUGUAAACCGCUUUCGCCUGUGACGAAGCGUGAGUGACGGUAAUGGGUAAAGAAGCACCGGCUAACUACGUG